rnacentral:rRNA from 1 species
AGUGAACGCUGGCGGUAGGUCUAACACAUGCAAGUCGAACGGCAGCACAGUAAGAGCUUGCUCUUACGGGUGGCGAGUGGCGGACGGGUGAGGAAUACAUCGGAAUCUACUUUUUCGUGGGGGAUAACGUAGGGAAACUUACGCUAAUACCGCAUACGACCUACGGGUGAAAGCAGGGGAUCUUCGGACCUUGCGCGAUUGAAUGAGCCGAUGUCGGAUUAGCUAGUUGGCGGGGUAAAGGCCCACCAAGGCGACGAUCCGUAGCUGGUCUGAGGGGAUGAUCAGCCACACUGGAACUGAGACACGGUCCAGACUCCUACGGGAGGCAGCAGUGGGGAAUAUUGGACAAUGGGCGCAAGCCUGAUCCAGCCAUACCGCGUGGGUGAAGAAGGCCUUCGGGUUGUAAAGCCCCUUUGUUGGGAAAGAAAAGCAGCAGGUUAAUACCCCGCUGUUCUGACGGUACCCAAAGAAUAAGCACCGGCUAACUUCGUG